GGUAGAAAUGCAGCAUAUUAUCAGAGACUGAUGAAAACUCAACUAGAAUGACCUCAAAUUCAGUCAGAAAACACAACAUCAUGAUCAUCUUCUCCUGCAUAGCCUUCAAUAUCAUACUUGUCUCAGGUUCGUCUUUCAAUGAUCAAGUCCACCAGACUCCUGCUGACAUUUACAAAGAACCCAGAGAAGAAGCUAAAAUCUACUGCUCUCACAGUAUUGAUAGCUAUAACCAAAUCCUGUGGUACAAGCAGACA